rnacentral:piRNA from 1 species
ACAAAGGUGCUUUGCUGAAACAAGCUAC